CACUGCCGAGAAAAGCCUCUAGAUAGAAAAUAGGUGCCCGUACCGCAAACCGACACAGGUAGUCAAGAUGAGAAUUCUAAGGUGAGCGAGCGAACUCUCGUUAAGGAACUCGGCAAAAUGACCCCGUAACUUCGGGAGAAGGGGUGCUCUUUAGGGUUAACGCCCAGAAGAGCCGCAGUGAAUAGGCCCAAGCGACUGUUUAUCAAAAACACAGGUCUCUGCUAAACCGUAAGGUGAUGUAUAGGGGCUGACGCCUGCCCGGUGCUGGAAGGUUAAGAGGAGUGGUUAGCUUCUGCGAAGCUACGAAUCGAAGCCCCAGUAAACGGCGGCCGUAACUAUAACGGUCCUAAGGUAGCGAAAUUCCUUGUCGGGUAAGUUCCGACCCGCACGAAAGGCGUAACGAUUUGGGCACUGUCUCAACGAGAGACUCGGUGAAAUCAUAGUACCUGUGAAGAUGCAGGUUACCCGCGACAGGACGGAAAGACCCCGUGGAGCUUUACUGUAGCCUGAUAUUGAAAUUCGGCACAGCUUGUACAGGAUAGGUAGGAGCCUUUGAAACGUGAGCGCUAGCUUACGUGGAGGCGCUGGUGGGAUACUACCCUAGCUGUGUUGGCUUUCUAACCCGCACCACUUAUCGUGGUGGGAGACAGUGUCAGGCGGGCAGUUUGACUGGGGCGGUCGCCUCCUAAAAGGUAACGGAGGCGCUCAAAGGUUCCCUCAGAAUGGUUGGAAAUCAUUCAUAGAGUGUAAAGGCAUAAGGGAGCUUGACUGCGAGACCUACAAGUCGAGCAGGGUCGAAAGACGGACUUAGUGAUCCGGUGGUUCCGCAUGGAAGGGCCAUCGCUCAACGGAUAAAAGCUACCCCGGGGAUAACAGGCUUAUCUCCCCCAAGAGUUCACAUCGACGGGGAGGUUUGGCACCUCGAUGUCGGCUCAUCGCAUCCUGGGGCUGUAGUCGGUCCCAAGGGUUGGGCUGUUCGCCCAUUAAAGCGGUACGCGAGCUGGGUUCAGAACGUCGUGAGACAGUUCGGUCCCUAUCCGUCGUGGGCGUAGGAAAUUUGAGAGGAGCUGUCCUUAGUACGAGAGGACCGGGAUGGACAUACCUCUGGUGUACCAGUUGUCGUGCCAACGGCAUAGCUGGGUAGCUAUGUGUGGACGGGAUAAGUGCUGAAAGCAUCUAAGCAUGAAGCCCCCCUCAAGAUGAGAUUUCCCAACUUCGGUUAUAAGAU
rnacentral:rRNA from 1 species